rnacentral:misc_RNA from 1 species
ACCUCUUGAUUAUCAGGACUGAUAAACGUCAGGAAGCUGAAGACCUACACUUGCAGCUGAUUUUCCUAGUAUUCUUUUCAUUUCAUCUGAUCUAUCCACAGCAAUGUUGUAAGAAAAUAACAACUCCUUGUGAUGGUGCACACUAUUAAGCAACAAAGUAUAAUGACGAGCAAGCUUGAUUUUCUGCCGAAUGGAUGAUUGGUCAGACAGAUUGCUGUUCUUCCGGAAUUCUUGCAUUAUGAAUUCACCAAAACGAUUCUUGUAAUCUUCUUGGCCAAUGUGUUUAUUAAUAGCGCUGAGAAGCUGUCGAUAAACCUUCAAAGCAAGUACAGCUUCAGAACUCAUUUUCCAACACCAUUGACUACUUAUCAAAUCCUCUUUCGUUGUUCAAUCCCUGAAUCAGAGGUAAAAUUAGGGUAUGUUUGACAUUGUUGUUAUAGCUGCUAUUAAGAAAAAAAAAUCAUCGUAAGGCAGUCUAUGACUGCUUUUGCAACCUCAUCAAAAUGAAGCAAAGAAAAGAAAAAGAUAAUCUACCCUCAAUGCCAAACAAAACCUUGGUAAUGCAUAGAACAGAAACUGUGUCAACCCCUAUCCAGCAAAUAACAAAACCAAGAAUAUCUGUUACAACUAAAUGCCAAAAGACGAUAAUCACAGUUAUUGCUCAAGCAGUACAAGCUUCCAAAAAUUAGCAUCUACAACCAAUUAUUACUACUGGGACUUGAAUCCAAUCUCAUUAUAGACUGUGUCACUUUGUGAUUACUGUUAUCAAAUUAUUAAAAAGAGGCAUCUAUUUUCCAACAUAACCAAUGGUAAUCAAGAAAGAACGGUCCAUCUUCAAUUCCAUAUUUUGCUUAUAAUUCUCACUUCUGAAUGUUAGCAAGAAUCCCUUUAACGUCCUCAAAAAAACAUCGAGGAUCCGAAGUGCGCAUAUGCAUCCCAUUAAAUCCCAAAAUUGGAGAACUGAAAAUAAUUCAAAACAUAUACACAAUCAAUCAGAGAGAAGAAUAGAAAUAGAAACCGAAAAAUUAAACCUUUAGUGCUCUGUUUGUUGCUAGUUGCUGGUUCUAGAGCUACACAGAAGCCAACCUGGUCAUUGAAGGAGAGUGCUUUUCUUCUAUUGAAUCGGCGGGCGAUUCGGCGAGUGUACUCGGCACACUCGCCUGAUUUGGACAAUGUGGUCGAGUUUUGCACAAAACACGGGCAGGUAAC